GAAUGAGGUAUUCUGUACCCUGUUAUGUGUACUUCUAACCCUGCUGUUGGGCUGUGCGCCGUCGAUUGGAAACAGCGCCAAAGAGAAAUGGUCAGCCAUGGUGUCAAUGUUCCAAGAAUGGAGAACGCGCCCCACCCUCUGCCGUCACUGCAGAACUGCCCCUUGUCAGGUCAAAAGGAGAUGCUUAUGGAAGCCCUCCGGCUCUCGUAAAAGGGACAAAGCCAAUUUCGCGGAGCGGUCAAAGGCCAUGAUGCUGUUCAACUACGGACUCGAAUUGUCCGUGCUGUUGACCAAAGAGCUGCCACGGGAUGACCUGUACUGGGAGAGAAGAUACUGCAGUCAUUUUGAGGAGAAGCAUAUGGUUCUGUUUCCACUGUGCAUCCAGCGUCAGAUCAACUACUGGUUACCCGUCCCUCGCUAGAUUUAUUGUCCUGGCUUCCGCGCAGAUUGUUGAUGACGUUUGAUGAUUGGUUUUAUUUGUGGAUGUCAUUUUUUUUUUGUGAUAACGAGGCUAUCGAUCACGUUAACGAUAUGCUGUGCCUUUGUUUUUAUUUUUUUGUGUCACGGUUAGUCCCGGCUAUUGGCUAAUUCUAACAUUGUGCGCCAUCGUCGUCAAAUGGUCUUAUGCAGAAUUUUGCGCUGUAGUCCUUGUAUUAAUCAAUUAGGACAUUGUUGGUAUUGGUCAGUAAUGUUCCAAUCAGAAUAUAUGCAUCGUAAUUUGUUGCAAUGGUCAGUUGGCAGAUGUUUAACAAAUAGGUCAGUUGGAAAUAUGAUGAUCGUGAUCGUUUGUGGGGAUCCAUAUGUAUGCUAGCUGAACUGGUCAGUUCUAACCCUGUCGAGUCUUGACCGCUAAUGGUUUUAUGUUGUAGUCUGCAUUAAGUUAAGAUGACCAUUCUAUGUGAUACUGCCAACUUAAAUUGUAGAAUGUUUGUCAUUUUGUAUUUGUCUUUUGUGAUAAGCAAUCAAG